rnacentral:rRNA from 1 species
CCUACGGGAGGCAGCAGUGGGGAAUUUUGGACAAUGGACGCAAGUCUGAUCCAGCCAUGCCGCGUGCGGGAAGAAGGCCUUCGGGUUGUAAACCGCUUUUGUCAGGGAAGAAACGGGUUUCUCUAAUACAGAGACCUAAUGACGGUACCUGAAGAAUAAGCACCGGCUAACUACGUGCCAGCAGCCGCGGUAAUACGUAGGGUGCAAGCGUUAAUCGGAAUUACUGGGCGUAAAGCGUGCGCAGGCGGUUAUGCAAGACAGAGGUGAAAUCCCCGGGCUCAACCUGGGAACUGCCUUUGUGACUGCAUAGCUAGAGUACGGUAGAGGGGGAUGGAAUUCCGCGUGUAGCAGUGAAAUGCGUAGAUAUGCGGAGGAACACCGAUGGCGAAGGCAAUCCCCUGGACCUGUACUGACGCUCAUGCACGAAAGCGUGGGGAGCAAACAGGAUUAGAUACCCUGGUAGUCCACGCCCUAAACGAUGUCAACUGGUUNUUGGGAGGGUUUCUUCUCAGUACGAAGCUAACGCGUGAAGUUGACCGCCUGGGGAAGUCGGCCGCAAGUUGAACUCAAGGAUUGACCGGNGNGNGAGNGCGAGAGACACGAGGAGAGG